GUCGAGAAUAAUUCACAAUGGGGGAAACCCUGAUGGUGCAACGCCGCGUGGAGGAUGAAGGUCUUCGGAUUGUAAACUCCUGUCAUCUGGGAGUAAGACCUGACGGUGAAUAGCCGGCAGGAUUGAUAGUACCAGAAGAGGAAGGGACGACUAACUUCGUGCCAGCAGCCGCGGUAAUACGAAGGUCCCAAGCGUUGUUCGGAAUCACUGGGCGUAAAGGGAGCGUAGGCGGCGUGGUAAGUCAGAUGUGAAAUCCCGGGGCUCAACCCCGGAACUGCAUCCGAUACUGCCAUGCUUGAGGGUUGGAGAGGUAGCUGGAAUUCUCGGUGUAGCAGUGAAAUGCGUGGAUAUCGAGAGGAACACUCGUGGCGAAGGCGAGCUACUGGACAACAUCUGACGCUGAGGCUCGAAGGCCAGGGGAGCAAAAGGGAUUAGAAACCCUUGUAGUCC
rnacentral:rRNA from 1 species